rnacentral:rRNA from 1 species
GACGUAGGUGGCGAACGUUAUCCGGAAUUAUUGGGCGUAAAGGGUGCGUAGAUGGCAUGAUAAGUUAUUAGUGGGAAAUCGAGGCUCAACCUCGUGGAAGCUGGUAAUACUGUUUUGCUUGAGUGCAGGAGAGGUUAACGGAACUCCAUGUGGAGCGGUAAAAUGCGUAGAUAUAUGGAAGAACAUCAAUAACGGCGAAGGCAGUUAACUAUGCUGCUACUGACAUUGAGGCACGAAAGCGUGGGGAGCAAAACGG